GCCAGGAGGAGGGCUCUUGAUCUUGGACUUCUCAGUCUCCAGAACUGUGAGAAAUAUACUUGCUUCCUAAGCCACUUAGCAUAUGGCAUUUUGUUAUCACAACCCAAGCUGAUUAAUACAAAGAAUUUUCCAAAGUUGGAGUAGAAAUGCUGAUUUUUCAAAUCUACAACUGGGAAGAUACUAAAUGCCUGACCGCAGCAGGAAAGUUCAGCACCCAAAUGAAAAUGUGAUAUCCCAUUAUGGAUGGAAGCACGUGGAAAUACAGAUAGAUCAAGAACACAGAUUGGGGCCUGGAAAAUUCUGAAAUGAGCUCAUCAUAUAGGCAGAAAGACAAAGAACCAAAAGAAAGAAAGAUCCUUAGAGAAGUAAUGAGACUUGGCUAUGGACAAGGAGAAUCUAUACAACCUUCGGUGGAGAAGCAGAGAGAAGGCAAGCACCCACUAAGGUGACUCUGGGGAGGCCCAUGGAUAUACCUGAAAACCAAUUUGAUAUUGCCAUUUCAUACUUUUCCCUUAUUCCCGGGAACAAACCAUGUAAUAUACUGUGUCAUUUCAGCUUUGUUUUUAUUUCUGAUUUCAAGCUGUAUGGAUCAUUCCCUACUUCCCAAAUAAAACAUAUUUGUACCCAA